UUUAAAGCCUUCUCCAGAUUGAUGCCUGUCAAUCCUGUCCUCUGAGGAUAGACACGGCGGUGCUGGUGCUUGUGUUUUUACAAGCUGAGCAGCCCUGGGUUUCCCAGAAAGGAUAUCCCAGCAGGAAGGAGAAAGGUGGAGCACAAUCCCUGUAGCAUUUCUUGUUCUGCAUUGUACAAAACUUUGUAGGGACACAGGAAGAGGAUACGGAAGUUUCUACAGGAAAACGGAGAUAAGUUCAAACGUAAAUAACAUCCAAAAAAUUUACCAUCAGCUUAUAACAUUUCCUUUUAAAAAGUUUAAAGACACUUAUGUUACAGCAUAGUUCGCUACACAUUAUUAUGUGUACGUAGUUUUGCAUCUUCUCUAGCAAUAAUAUCUCAAAGCCAUUUUUAACAUGAAUUAUGCAAGCUAUAUUACAUGGAGCAAUGUAAGAAAU